UACGUAGGGUGCAAGCGUUAUCCGGAAUUAUUGGGCGUAAAGAGCUCGUAGGCGGUUUGUCGCGUCUGCUGUGAAAACUGGAGGCUCAACCUCCAGCCUGCAGUGGGUACGGGCAGACUAGAGUGCGGUAGGGGAGAUUGGAAUUCCUGGUGUAGCGGUGGAAUGCGCAGAUAUCAGGAGGAACACCGAUGGCGAAGGCAGAUCUCUGGGCCGUAACUGACGCUGAGGAGCGAAAGCAUGGGUAGCGAACAGG
rnacentral:rRNA from 1 species